rnacentral:lncRNA from 1 species
CUACGCCCAGAAGGAUAGCGAUUUUUCGGGACAGCUUCUUGCCAUCCUUCGUCAGAGGAGUCCUCCUCUUGGGCUGUGGACUCUGCCUUAACCAGCGUCACCUGAUCUCGAGGUUCCAUAACACGUUCAUCAACCUUUGUUUCUUCAGGUUUUGCUUCGGACUUAAUGUCUUUAUCACUUGAACUCUCCACAGUGAUAGGAGUCGGAGUCAGAAUUUCAUCAUCUUUCUGAUUUUCUUCCAACACAGAUGUUGGACUUAGUCCUGGUCUUCCCUUGACCUGAAUAAACAUUUCGAUGAAAAUAUCUGUCACACAACUUAUUAGUGAGAGCAGUUCAAUAGAAACAUGGAUUAAGCCAGCGGAAAUCAAAUAUGACCUUCAUGCGAGCUUUCCUUUGGGCGUCCCUUGUUUUGAGAUCAGUCUCCGGGGUUAUAUAAUCCAGCAGGUCUGAUACACUGUUAUUUGGACGAAAGUUCAUGGGUUACAUACUCAGGACAAGAGUUUACACAAGCUAUAAAUUUAUACUAUGCAUUUUAGAUUUCAUAUAUAGUAGUCCGUUUCUACUUAAAAUACCUGAGAUGGCCUUUGCUGGAAAUAGAGGCGUCUGGCUUGGGAGUACCAUUUCGUGCAGCUUCUUGUUGUUCCAGAGCUUUAGACUCAAAAUACUCAAGCCACGCAGCCGCAUCCUAACAUAGUUCUGGAAUGUAAGAAACUUAGAGACAUACUUCAAAGCUAACUCUGUGUGCUGAAGACGAUAAUAGAAGACGGCCAGGUCGCCGUAGCUUUUCAUUGUGUCUGGAUGAUCAAGUCCAAGUUCCCUUUCAUUUAUGUCGAGUGCUUUUUGCUGAUAAAUAGUAGCCUGAAUAAUGAAAACUGGUUAGAUGAUUUGAGCUAUGCCUUGGAGACUGUCUCGAGUUCUUUCAAAGUGUAUACCUGGUUAAAGUCCCCAGUAUGGUACAGGACAACAGCAAGAAGACUAUAUGCUCCGGCAGUCAUUCUAUGAUAUGGGCCGCACACUGCUACAAGCUUCGCCAAUGCCUAUAAAGUCGUCCCAGAAUAUCAACUAUUUUAUACAGUUCGAACAAAAAAGAAACUAUUCAAUGACAAAAAGUGUCGGAAAAAGCUGGAGUGUUGAUUCUUUCAGUGCAAAAGCAUCCUUGCCCGUGAAAACAGAACUCGUUAAUUCAAACUUACAUGGUGCUAAAAAUGCCUAUUCAGUAAGUCUACGCUAGUUCUGAAAAAAAGUUGAUGAGGAUAAAAGAAGAGAAGAAAAAUGUUCAAUUGCUUCCAGUUCAGAGAAGAAAGGUUAUAUAAUGAGUGGCGGUAGUGGGAAGAGGGCAGGCAAAGAAGGGAGCAGCGUAGUCAGACUAGUGAAGAGCUUCAUGACAUGUUAGUAUAAGAAGGAGUGAGAAAGUUAUCGUUAUACCUUGGUACCAUAACUGACAGCAUCCUCCAGUUUGCCUUUAUCUAAGGAAGUUUUGGAUGAUUCCAAUAAAGUGCGUCCAUCGGCGGAUGAACAUGCUACGUGCUGCACACAAAAGCAGUGCUCUUUAGCCACUUAAGAAUUUUACCUUUUAUGGCCUAUUACUAGACAAAGAGAGUUACGCAUGGUACCUUAUAUACAGGAACCAUACUAAUGAUAUCUAACUUCUUAAAUGGACUUGACGUGUCCAUCUCAUAAUCCUUAGGAACAAGCUCCAGUCCAACCUAAACCGAUGAGUGAAGUAACAUAUGAGAAUCAAAGGUUAGAUUGUCCACUACCUCCUGGACUUGUUUCAUGGCUACCGUGGCCUCUUUCCUUAUGGCUCUCGCGUUAGGAAACACAGACUUACAUUCUUGGGAGCUUGAUUCCUCACUGAAGCUCUCAUGCUGCAUAUACUCUGGACUCCAGUUGGCUGUGCUUUUCUUCCUACAAGCUUGGUGCGUGUCGCGGAAAGGACCUCUUUUCUCUGCACUCUUCAACCCUCUUUCUACGGUCAUUGUCACUUUCUUUGGUGCUUUGUAUUUAAAAGAGAAGACGUACCUCGGAAGGUACAACAUAUAUAGGUCUCUUUUCUUACUGCCUUCUCUCAUUUCACAACUUGAACUGUUUUGUCCGUUUUUUUUUCCAGCUUGCUGGGGGCUUUGGCUAUCAUCCUUGGACUCUACAUUGUUCUAUGGGGAAAAUCAGAGGACUAUCAAGAAGAAGCAACAGACCUGAAGUUGCAAGAUGAACAUACCAAUCUCUCCCAACUUUUGAUUGGUGAUAAGGCGUUUCGUAGUUCAGAGCUGUUAGAACCUCUUCUCAUGUAAAUUCUAUAACAAGGCAGUUUCUAGAUGACAAUGAUAAAAACCCACAAAAUGAAAUGGAACUUCUUUUUACAACUUUCACACGUACCAACAGAUUUAGAAGCUACUCCCACGCACAAAAGCAAGUGCUUGCAUAUUGAAAGAGAGAAAAUACAUUGAAAUGCAAUGUAUUCCGAGAAGUGAGCCAAAACAAGAAAGAGGAAGAAGGCGAAGAAGUUGAGAAUUCUGAGCAGUUUGUUGCUACACUGAAUCUUUGCUUGCUCUUUACGGAAGAGGACAGUCUUUACGUUAAUACGUUAAUCAAGUUAACUAGUAAUUACUCUCGAGUAAUUGUCUGAAGGAAAAGCUUUUGCAAAUCACACGCGAGUGACAAAAUUAACUUGAGAAUUAUUCCUAGGUCCAAGUUUCUGAGCUCUCUGAAAAUCAUUUAUUAAUUAAUUUUGUCAAAACAUAUAAGAAAACAAAAGAAAAGUGUUUAUCCAAGAGGCUCUUCAAGAAGUUGAAUACAGUAUGUUUUUAGUUUUCAGCUAUGGAAACCAAAAGCUGAAAUCAUGAGUAAACUGGAGGGACGAGUCUUGGUUCUGUGCUGCAACACAAACCAUUCAAAAGUAGAAAUGAUUUCCUCGACUUUCAUUGGAACUACCGAUGAUUGUGUAACUCAACCUCAUCCAUGGAGCCAAACUUUUCUCCAUUUCUUUAGCCUCAAUGUUAAUACUUCAAUGGCAGAAAACUGCUUCUUCAAUUCUCGUCAGAUAUCUCUUGUGCUGUGGGUUUCUCUUCACCAGCUGCAGACUGUCCGUUUUCAGGUGUUUCUGUAGUUUCUUGUGCAGUGACUUCUUCAUCCUCUGCAGCUUUAUUCUCCUUGUUGCUCUCUUCUUCGCCUCCACUCUUCUCCUCAGCGCUUUCAGUAUCAUGUACCUCCUCUAAAGCCACUGGUGCAGGUAUUAUAUGUCCAUUCUGAGGCUGUGCGGGUAUGUUACACGGAUAUGCACCUGCUACCGGCGACAACGGGUACCCAUUCUGCGUUAUUUCCGUCCCAUUUGGUGAUACAAGAUAGCCGUUUGGUGACACUGGAUAUCCGUUAGAAACCCAUGGUUGACUCGGUAUGAACUCCGCGGCAUGAGGGUUCAUUAUUCUUGGCCCAAUGAAUUGCUUAGCCUCGCCAUUAGACUCGGGGCUAAUGGGGAAGCUUGGUUUGUUACGAGGAACCCUGUUUCCAGAUCGGUUGAAGCCACCACCUGAGAGCCUCGGCCCAUAGGGAACUCGAGCUGUUACAGACUGAUGAGGAGUUGACCUGCGGACAUGGUUUACAGGAAGCAUUGGUGGAAUAUUGACUGGGGAGGGAAGGAUUCCCACAUGGUCAUUGAAUCCUGGAACUGUAAUCGACCCAAAAAUUGGAAUGGUCGUUGGGGUAUAGGGUGGUGCAGAAGCAGAGAGCUUCUUGCUCGUCUCUUUUUGCGCCUCCAAUGCCUCUUGCUUUUCUCCAUCUGCAACUACUGAUGACUUUGGACUUAAGUCUCCAUUAGGCAGAGCUUCAGUUUCACCAUCUACUGCUUUAGCAGUAGCAUCAGACACAUCCUUCUGUUGCUUCAGUUCUGUUACUGGUCCACUUCCAUUUGAAUCUUUUGCUGUUUGUACACUUUCAGAUAUUCCUUGACUUGCAUCUGAAACCCCCGUCUUUGUUGGAGAUCCUUCUUCUCCUGCCUUUUCAGCCUUGAUAUCCUCUUGUGAACUCAUGAACUUUGAUCCACCAACCGCAGCUCCUCCUUGUUCAUUGCCAUCAGCAUUUUUCGUUUCCGUUUCGGUAGCCUCAUGCUUACUCUCACUCUCAUCCUCCUCAGCCUUAACUUUUUCAGGACCAUCUACUUUUGCCGCGUCCAAAGUCUCUGGGACAGUCGUUUCUUCUGUCAACUGCUCCGCAACUAUUUUCACAAUUGUUCCAGGGGGUGCCAGUGCAACCUCCUUAUAGGAAAACAGUUUUCCAGCUUGGACAGUCACAGGACUCACCAUAGAAAUCGGCUUGUUGAUCUGUUCGGUGGCUGAUUUAUUGCUAACUGGCUUUUCUCCCACUAUAUUGGAACUGUUUUUCUUUUUAUUCAAACUCGGGCUCUUCAAAGCCUUCUUGGCGUGCUGGGAAGUAGAACCAGCAGUAGAUAUUGAAAUCUCAUUCGGGCUAGUCCUUGGGGACGCGAAAUUGGUGGGUUUUCCUCUGCUUUUUGAUGUCUGCUGGUUCGCGUUCGUGAAGUUUGUGUUCAGCUUUGCCAGGCUGGGACGGGUUCUACGCCCAGAAGGAUAGCGAUUUUUCGGGACAGCUUCUUGCCAUCCUUCGUCAGAGGAGUCCUCCUCUUGGGCUGUGGACUCUGCCUUAACCAGCGUCACCUGAUCUCGAGGUUCCAUAACACGUUCAUCAACCUUUGUUUCUUCAGGUUUUGCUUCGGACUUAAUGUCUUUAUCACUUGAACUCUCCACAGUGAUAGGAGUCGGAGUCAGAAUUUCAUCAUCUUUCUGAUUUUCUUCCAACACAGAUGUUGGACUUAGUCCUGGUCUUCCCUUGACCUGAAUAAACAUUUCGAUGAAAAUAUCUGUCACACAACUUAUUAGU